UACGUAGGGUGCGAGCGUUAAUCGGAAUUACUGGGCGUAAAGUGUGCGCAGGUGGCUGAGCAAGCCGAGUGUGAAAUCCCCGGGCUUAACUUGGGAAUUGCGCUCGAAACUACUUGGCUCGAGUGUGGCAGAGGAAGGUGGAAUUCCAGGUGUAGCGGUGAAAUGCGUAGAGAUCGUGAGGAACACCAGAGGCGAAGGCGGCUACCUGGACAAUUGCUGACACUCAGGCACGAAAGCGUGGGGAGCAAAAGGG
rnacentral:rRNA from 1 species